ACCCCCUGACAAUGGGCAAAAAAGAGACACCUUUUUGGUGGUGGUGUUCUUAUAUCAGUCAGCGGCAGAGCAGAUGGCAACCCUUUGUUCAGCUUAGCUUGAUGCCUGGCUCGGUGGCCAGAGCUGUUUUAUACCUAGAACUCAUAA